rnacentral:lncRNA from 10 species
GGCCAAUAGAAUGUGGACAGAACUGAUGUAAGCCUCUUCCAAGUGUGACCAUUAUUCUGAAUGAUCCUCUAAGCAUUCUCUCUUCACUUGCCUCCGGUCUGGAUGUAGGAAAUCAGUGAAAAGCUUCAAGCUCCUAGGCAAUGAAAGAGCCUAGAUGCCUGAAUGAUUUCAUGGAGCAGAACCAUCACUCUCUUCUACUGAUGAAUCUAUAAUAGACUAUAAGACACUACCUAUCUUCAACAGCCAAGAGAGCUGAGGAGGGGCCACCAUCAAGCUUUUUGCCAGUGCACUACCUAGGACAGAAUUUUUCAAACUGCAUUCCAUGGAGAGGCUACAAGAAGCAUCUGAGAAGAUGGGAGAAGAUACAUAAGCAUUGAAUGAAUGGGGCUCUACAUCCCCCAACUCCACUUCUGUCAUGGCAGUUCCGCUUUAUCUGCUUCACGUUAGAUUGCAUUUGGAGAAUUGUUCCAUCCUUGAAAGAGAGAGAGAAAUAAAC